AUGAGACAGAGAAUGAGCUUCAUGGGUGGCUACUCGUUUGAAAUCGUUUUGCUUUUUGGCUGGUGCGAGCGAAUCUUCAAGCAGGCCUAAGGGGCAGAGAGGACUAUAUAUAGAGUGUCGCUUGUUCAUGGAAGGAGCAAAAUUGUUUGUCCAUUCAACAAGAAAAUCACACAUCUUCUUGAUCUGGUUUCUGUGUUUCUAAGUGCUCUCGCUUGAAAAUGGAAGUCCAGGCGGUUGCCCAAUACGCAGCUUUUGCUGGAGACACCGUGGUGAAGUUGUCCAAAUACGUUGUCUUUAAAGGAGACAACGAUACUUAUCUUGCAGCUUUUUGGACUGAAUCCCAUAAGUAUCUUCAGUUCAACACGACUGAUAUCGGCAGUGGAAACGGUGGAGGUGACGGUGAGGGGUGUUCAUGCCAAGUACGAUGUCCAAUUCUCUUACACCCAAGUAGACCUGCUUACUACGGGAGAAACGGUUGAGACUCUAAAAAAGUAUGGCGUUUUCAGCAGGGUCAAUACCACGGACAUUAAGUUCGAAGUGCGUUCUCUCUGAGUUGUUAAAAUGGAGGACAGAGGCAUCAGAGGUUGGAGGUUAAUAAGCGAUCUUUCGUCAGUCAUCAACGAAAGGGUCCCGCAUCAUGAGGAAGCAGCUAACAGCCGUGAUCUUUUGACUAUGGAGAUCCUCUGAUUGAUCAGUAUGUUCACUUGGCAAUUAUGAUCAUGUGCAACAAGAUCCAAAUAGCAAGAUCUAGACAUUGGUAUGCAGUUGUAUGUGAUUUAUUUUGUUUUCAGUGUUCUUAUGUAGUGUGAAUAAAUGGAAAUUUCACAUUGUAGGAUACAUAACAUCAAUGUUCCAUUUUCAUAUUGUGGGGUGACAGUGUUUGAGAUUAGGUGACAAUGGUGGACAAUGAUUGCAAAUGAGAAAAACAUUUGAUUCUCAUAAAUGUAAUGUGAAAUUGUUUCA